rnacentral:lncRNA from 1 species
CAUGUACCAUAUGAUCCACAAACAUAUAUACAUCGUCUUAAAAUAGUAUAUUACAGACUUAGCUUUUAUCUCGCGACAUCUUGCACCUUACCGUGUGUAUCUAUGCAUAGUCCCCGCCCACAUGGUGGAAGUCACCGGCGGCGGCCGAACAGCGGCAGCUGACCCUGCAGCCGCCGCUUCUAGGCGAGCCGUCUCCGACUGAUGGGUCCUCUCCCGAAAUCUCCUUAUGAAAGUUUCUACUUGUUGGUCUACUUUGCCAUCCUGGCAAUCGAUGGGCUCCAUAAGGACCGUCCUGCAUCCGGCCAUGGGCUCAACGCAGCGGGUGGAUGCCGCUGGAGACCAUGUCGGAGCCCUGGCCGCUGCCGUCCUAGUCGGCGAUGCUGUCGCACGGGGUGUGAUCCUGGAGAGGAGGUAGGACGAGGAGGCCAUGAUGAGGUUGGCCGUGAUGAUGGUGGAGGACUCGAAGAGGGAGGAGUUGUUCCUACGCCGUGAUGGCGCCAUGCCUGCCAGCUGUGGGCUGUUUCCUAGCUAACAAGUGCAACUAUGUCUUGGUGGUGUUAUGUGAGUUUGCAGAGGGGUUGGUGACUUUGGUCUGUUAAGAGUCUUAGAGAUUGCUAGAUAGAGAUGGCUGUGCUGAGUUUGUAAUAAUGAUGGUACAGGGGCUAUUUAUAUAUCACAUCCAGAAUUUCACUGUUGUGGAUUGGAAUAAUGUGAAAUAUCUAUAUAUACAUGUGGUGGUCCCUGAAAUGGGUUGGCUUGAAGAAUCUAUGCUGUACAGUUCGACUAUAUUAUUAUAUGUUCUUUUUUUCAUUAUUGUAUCAGCCAGGAAACUUAUAUGCGUGGACAUGUUUCUAUUUGUCUCUGUGUAAACUUGUAGGCCUCAUCUGAAGAAACAGAAUAUUAUU